rnacentral:rRNA from 1 species
AACGAACGCUGGCGGCAGGCUUAACACAUGCAAGUCGAACGCCCCGCAAGGGGAGUGGCGCACGGGUGAGUAACGCGUGGGAAUAUGCCCUUCGGUUCGGAAUAACACAGGGAAACUUGUGCUAAUACCGGAUACGAUCUACGGAUGAAAGAUUUAUCGCCGAGGGAGUAGCCCGCGUAGGAUUAGCUAGUUGGUGAGGUAAUGGCUCACCAAGGCGACGAUCCUUAGCUGGUCUGAGAGGAUGAUCAGCCACACUGGGACUGAGACACGGCCCAGACUCCUACGGGAGGCAGCAGUGGGGAAUAUUGGACAAUGGGGGAAACCCUGAUCCAGCCAUGCCGCGUGAGUGAUGAAGGCCCUAGGGUUGUAAAGCUCUUUCAGUAGGGAAGAUAAUGACGGUACCUACAGAAGAAGCCCCGGCUAACUUCGUGCCAGCCGCCGCCGUAACAC